UACGUAGGUCCCGAGCGUUGUCCGGAUUUAUUGGGCGUAAAGCGAGCGCAGGUGGUUUAUUAAGUCUGGUGUAAAAGGCAGUGGCUCAACCAUUGUAUGCAUUGGAAACUGGUAGACUUGAGUGCAGGAGAGGAGAGUGGAAUUCCAUGUGUAGCGGUGAAAUGCGUAGAUAUAUGGAGGAACACCGGUGGCGAAAGCGGCUCUCUGGCCUGUAACUGACACUGAUGCUCGAAAGCGUGGGGAGCAAACAGG
rnacentral:rRNA from 1 species